UUCCUUGAACCGCAUGGUUCAAGGAUGAAAGACGGUUUCGGCUGUCACUUACAGAUGGACCCGCGGCGCAUUAGCUAGUUGGUGGGGUAAUGGCUCACCAAGGCGACGAUGCGUAGCCGACCUGAGAGGGUGAUCGGCCACACUGGGACUGAGACACGGCCCAGACUCCUACGGGAGGCAGCAGUAGGGAAUCUUCCGCAAUGGACGAAAGUCUGACGGAGCAACGCCGCGUGAGUGAUGAAGGUUUUCGGAUCGUAAAGCUCUGUUGUUAGGGAAGAACAAGUGCGAGAGUAACUGCUCGCACCUUGACGGUACCUAACCAGAAAGCCACGGCUAACUACGUGCCAGCAGCCGCGGUAAUACGUAGGUGGCAAGCGUUGUCCGGAAUUAUUGGGCGUAAAGGGCUCGCAGGCGGUUUCUUAAGUCUGAUGUGAAAGCCCCCGGCUCAACCGGGGAGGGUCAUUGGAAACUGGGAAACUUGAGUGCAGAAAGAGGAGAGUGGAACUCCACGUGUAGCGGUGAAAUGCGUAGAGAUGUGGAGGGAACACCAGUGAGCGAAAGGCGAACUCUCUGGGCUGUAACUGA
rnacentral:rRNA from 1 species